UGGGAACGUGCCCUUUGGUUCGGGACAACUCCGGGAAACUGGAGCUAAUACCGGAUACGCCCUUCGGGGAAAGAUUUAUCGCCAAAGGAUCGGCCCGCGUCUGAUUAGCUAGUUGGUGAGGUAAUGGCUCACCAAGGCGACGAUCAGUAGCUGGUCUGAGAGGAUGAUCAGCCACACUGGGACUGAGACACGGCCCAGACCUCCGUACGGGAGGCAG
rnacentral:rRNA from 1 species